UACGUAGGGGGGCAAGCGUUGUCCGGAUUUAUUGGGCGUAAAGAGCGUGUAGGCGGCCAUACAGGUCAGCUGUGAAAACUCGAGGCUCAACCUCGAGACGUCGGUUGAAACCGUAUGGCUAGAGUCCGGAAGAGGAGAGUGGAAUUCCCGGUGUAGCGGUGAAAUGCGCAGAUAUCGGGAAGAACACCCGUGGCGAAGGCGGCUCUCUGGGACGGUACUGACGCUGAGACGCGAAAGCGUGGGGAGCAAACAGG
rnacentral:rRNA from 1 species